CGAAUCGCCCCAAUCAGAUAGCUCGAGUGGCCACAACUGCAGUUCAAAUACCAGAAUGCAUCCAUGCUACCUGGUUUUUGACAUUACUGCUGUGGACAGAUUUUCAGCGAUCCAGCCAGCCUGGUUGCUGAAGCCACAGAGGUAUUCAAGGACAAGAACCAAUGCUGAUCAAAACAUGGGCUAGUUCCAUACCCGUUCUUGGCAAGGAUUUUUUAGAAAGGAAUAUUGUCUGCAAAAUAUGAUGUGCCAAUAAGCUUUAAUUUGCUGCGGCUUUUCGCCCAUGGCAGUGGUCCUGCAAUCUAGAUCCAGGGGUUGCAGCUCUGAAUCUAAUAUUUCAGAAUGAAGAUAUCGGAAUUCACUAUAGUACCGUAUUCACCAGUAAGGUUUUAUCCAGGAUACCAUAGUGGCAUCUGGGAUUGAUCUCUUCAGUAAGUUGGAUUCACCAGUAACGUUUAAUCAAGGAUACCAGAGUGGCAUCAGGAUUUGAUCACUUCAGUACUGUAUUCACCAGUAACUUUUUAUCCAGGAUACCAGAGUUGGCAUAUGGGACGAUCACUUCAGUACCCUAUACCAGAGUGCAUUAUGGAUCUUGGAUCGAUGACUUCAGUACUGUAAUCAUCAUGAACAAUUGAAAUAAGAGACAAGAAUUGCAUAUGUAUCAAAUGCAGAGAAAUGUGUCAAUUUUCUUGCAGAGUAUUCCCCUAUCAAUAGAUCAAUGCAUCAUAGUUUAUUACAGUCAUCUUGUCAGUAGGCUGCUAAACUCUUGCUGGGGCGGAAUUUACUAUGUCUAAAAUACAGUGACAUUGUUAAAAUUAAAACAAAGCCUAAUACGUUCUGACUAACUAAGUGUAUUGGCAAAGGAUAUACAUUUUGUGGUU